rnacentral:rRNA from 1 species
UGGGGAAUAUUGCGCAAUGGGCGAAAGCCUGACGCAGCGACGCCGCGUGAGGGAUGAAGGUUUUCGGAUCGUAAACCUCUGUCAGAAGGGAAGAAACCGCACUGUGCUAAUCAGCAGUGCCUUGACGGUACCUUCAAAGGAAGCACCGGCUAACUCCGUGCCAGCAGCCGCGGUAAUACGGAGGGUGCAAGCGUUAAUCGGAAUUACUGGGCGUAAAGCGCACGUAGGCUGCUUUGUAAGUCAGGGGUGAAAUCCCACGGCUCAACCGUGGAACUGCCUUUGAUACUGCUUAGCGUGAAUCCGGGAGAGGGGGGCGGAAUUCCAGGUGUAGGAGUGAAAUCCGUAGAGAUCUGGAGGAACAUCAGUGGCGAAGGCGGCCACCUGGACCGGUAUUGACGCUGAGGUGCUAAAGCGUGGGGAGCAAACAGG